rnacentral:misc_RNA from 1 species
GUUGUAGUGUCAGGACGGACUUUAGUUCCCUUCAUUAGUUCAAAAUAGGAAAGGGCUUUUGCAUACUGGGUACCAUUUUUGUAGGCAGAUAAGACAAUAUUAUGAGUCAUCAGGUCAGGUCCAACACCAUUUUCAGUCAUUUCCUUGCAAACUUUAAGAGCCUCUCUCCAAUUUCCACUAGAUCCACAUGCAUUGAUCAAAUUGUUGUAUGUU